rnacentral:lncRNA from 1 species
ACGCGUCUACGCGAUGCAUAAAGUAUACAUAAUUAUGAUGUUACUUUGAACUUAGCUUUGAUAAUGUUGAUGUGGAAAAUUAAUAUAUUAAUUACUGGUGUUUAAUAUAUUAGAAUCUAUAUUAAUGAUUGUGUUUAUUUCAUUUCUAAGUUUAUAUAUUAUCCACUUUCAACUGCAUCCUUGAAAAAACACUCGGUCUAUUAAUAGGAUAGACUUCAAAAACCAUCGUCUCAUUAGGCGGUUACCUCGAGUAGGUCGGCGAAUCAUUGGAAGACACUAGAGAGGCCCUUGGGCUUGGUAUGUCGGAAACCCUAUUGGAGGCCUUUGGUGAUUCGACGACCCUGAUAGAGACAAUUUAUUUAAUCAAUUACACAAACUUUUAUACAUCCAUUAAAUAUAUUUUUGUACUUUGAUAGAUUGAAUUAGCUAGGGUGUCAAAUGCGCCGAACUUUGGCUAUAAACCCAGGCUCGGGCUCUGCUCGAUAAGGAAUUCCACAAUCUUGUUGGUCUCGCGAGCUCGAGCCGAGCUUAACAUGACACCCUACAAUUAGCCAUAAAAGAGAUCUUGACUAGAUCGAAGUAUGUUGAAGAUUUUGAUAAGAUAAUGGAAAACUUUGUGUGAGAUUAACAAUGGCCCAAUGUUAAUAUUCAACCCGAUUACCCCAAUAUUCAACCCGAUUUUGUUCUACAAAACAAGAAAACAAAAUAAAAUGAGACAAAAUCCCCAAUGAACAACCAUGUCUCAUACAAUAAAAUAAACAAAAAUCAUAAAUAAUAUUUGAAACAGAUAACAACUAAUAUUGAACCAAGUUCAUACAAUGAAGCUUCAAAUAAUCCAAAAUGAAUUGAAGCAAUGGAAAAUGAAAUGAGAGAUUUAAAUGAAAACAACACAUGAACUCUCACAAGGCUUCCUAAAAACAGAAAAUCCAUUGGAUCAAAAUGGAUUUAUAAAAUUAAAUAUAAGCCAAAUGGCCAAGUAGAAAGGUAUAAAGCAAGACUUAUUGUCAAAGGUUUUACACAAAAAGAGGAUUUCAAUUUUUUGAAACUUUUUUACUUGUAGUUAAAAUGGUAACUAUAAAAACUAUAAUAUCAGCUGCAGCCAUUAAAGGCUGGAACUUAUAUCAAUUAGAUGUAAAUAAUGUCUUUUUACAUGGUGAUUUACAUGAGAAGGUAUAUUUGAAACCUUCACAAGGCUUACUUGAAGAAAAAGAUAAGAGAGUGUGUAAGCUAAAUAAGUCAUUGUAUGGUCUCAAACAAGAGAAGCUGGUUUGAGAAAUUAAGAGAAGUCCUCUUAGAAAUUGGAUUCUCUUAAGCAAAAUCUGAUUGUUCCCUUUUCAUUUGAGAAAAAAAUCAGAAUAUACUAUACCUCAUUGUAUAUGUAGAUGAAAUUAUCAUCACAGGUAACAAUGAGUUGGAAAUUGGGAUAAUAAAAAAGAUUCAACUAGAAAAUCAAUUCAAAUUAAAGGAUCUUGGAAGAUUAAACUACUUUCUAGGUAUUGAGGUGUCCUACUCUUCUCAGGCCAUAUAUUUAUCCCUAGGGACCUCUCACAUGCUUAACAAACGUUUUACCAUUUGCGCUACAUCUCCAUUCUCUCUAAAUUUAAUAUUUUUUUAGUUUUUUACACUUGGACUCGAAUGAAAUGAAAUAAUUAUUUAAAAACAUGGGGGAUCGAACCCAUGACUUCUCAAAUACUAAACAAAUCUUUUACCAAUAUGCUACACCUCUAUUCUCUUUAAAUUUAAUAUUUUUUUACUUUUUUAUACCUACCAACGAGCCCACUCGAGCUUAACGAGCUUGAGGCUCGGGCUCGGGCUCGUUGGGCUCACGAGCCCGAGCUUAAACGAAUCGAGCCCGAGCCGGGCUUUAUUUGACACCCUAUUUAUUUCAAAGGAAAUAUGCACUAGGAAUACUAGAAGAGUCUGGUCUUUUUGGUGCAAAACCAUUCCAAUGGAAAGGUACGUAGAUCUAAAAAAUGAUAAAUCUACAUUAAUUCAAAACCUAACAUUCUAUAGAAAGAUGGUUGAGAAACUAAUAUACCUAAACAUAACAAGACCUAAUCUAAGCUUCUCAGUAAACUGGCUGAGUCAGUUUAUGCAUGAACCAAGAAAGAUUCACCUUAGGGUCCUAUUUAAAUUAAUAAGGUAUAUUAAAAAUGCUUCAGGAUAGGGAUUGCUAUACAAUAGAAAUGGAAACAUGAUGAUUAGAGGGUAUUGUGAUGCUGAUUGGGCAGCUUGCCAAAUUAGCAGAAAAUCCUUAACUGAUUUUUGUAUUAUGCUAGGAGAUUCACUAAUCUCUUGGAAAACCAAGAAACGGAACACAAUAGCCAAGUCAUCAUGUAAGACAGAGUACAAAGCUAUAGAUCAAGUAACCUGUGAAAUUGUAUAAAUCCACCAAUUAAUGGAGGAACUUAAGAUAAAAAUCAUAAUACCCACAGACCUCUACUGUGACAACAAAUCUGCAAUUCAUUUAGCAAAUAACCCAGUCUUCCAUGAGAGGACAAAACACAUAGAGGUGGAUUGUCAUUUCAUAAAGGAGAUGAUAAAUCAAAAGAAAAUCAUAUUGAAACAAAUUGGAACUAAGUUCCAACUUGCUGAUUUUCUAACAAAAGCUCUUGGUGAGAAGGAAAUUACAGCAUUUCACUCCAAGCUUGGAAUAUUAAAUAUAUAUUCCAAGGCUUGAAGGGGGAGUAAAGGAAUUAGAUAGUUAAUUCCAUUGUAAUUUCUUUAUAAUUACUGUAAAUCAUAUAAUCAUCUGUUGAGGACUUAAAACCAAUUAUCUAUUAAAGUACACUAUGCAGGUAAAUAACUCAAGACUAGCGUGAGGCAUAACAAAGAAACUUGAGGCCGUUAAUACAAAAGUUUUAAUAAAAGUUAUGCUUAAAUAAUAUCAAGAAAGCUUGGAAUAGAAGAUGUAAAAGUUUCAAUAAUGCAAUUGGGCUAAUUGUCAAGUUGGGCUACACGAUGGGCCGAAGAUUAAUAAAUAUUAGUAUUGAAAUAUUGUUAAAGAUUAGUUGAUGAUUAGUCUAAUUGUGCUAUAAAUAUCAUUGUAAACAGUGAGUUAAUUAAUUCAAUUACUCUUAGACUGUUUAACAGUUUAAAUCAUUCUUAGCAUCUUCUAACGGAUUCUAAGGGAACAGUUAGUUCGAAGAACCCUAGAAUCCACCCCUUUUCUUGCGAGAGCAAUUGCUGGCUAAAUUCGCCAGCCCCAGAUUCAAUUCACAUCCGGGAAGCAUCCGCGCACACGUUUUAUCAGAUAUUUGGUACGAUGAAUGCAAAUCAGAGUACCUGACGUUAUAUCCGCGUCUCAUUUAACACUAAAUUAUGUUGCAGUUAGAGGAUCAGAAGAUUUCAUACUCUAAAAAUAAACAAUAAUUCAUGAAAGCAAAAUUAAAAAAACUAAAAACGAACGAAAUGACAAAACAAAUAGUGAAAGAAAGGGAAAAAGACAAUGUUGGUCGAUUACGAGUACAUUACCGUAAAAAAUAAUUGUAGAUGCUUCGUAGGACGAGGGGAACACAAAAUCUGAAAAGAUUCUUGUACACUAUGCUCAACGAAUGGUACGCAUAACCUGUCAAAAAUAGGAAGCGCAAAACGCAAAAAAUUUGGUUAGUUUAGACAGGAAGAGAAAACAAAGUUGAGGACAACGGAGACUAAUACAACGACUACGGAAAUCACAGAAGAAACGACGACGGUAGCCACAAAAAGGGGAUAGAAACUAAAAAACGGAACGACGAUCGCAGAACAGCAGGAUACCGGAACACCGGACGAAGAGAUAACCGCAACGAAGAAACAACCUAAACAGUAACUAGGAAAAGGUUUCCAUUGUAGGAAGUUGAGGGAGGAGGUAGAAUGGAGACAAGGGCAGAAGGGUAGAACAGAGGCGAAACUCGAAAGGAGACUACAGUAGAAGGUUCGAAGGUAGUGGACGGUAGAAGGGAGAACAAGGAAGAAGGUAGGAGGAAGAAAACAGUGUCUUGGUGUGAUUGUUGAAAAUUGAUGAAAGGGAUUCAAUUAAAUAGGGAGUAAAGGUAACUAGAAUGACAGGACAUAUGUUUAGGCUGGG